UAUCAUCCAAUCGGGACAGGGCUUACCCACUGAACGUGUGUAUAUCGUCAUGUAACCUAUUUUCGCGAUGUGCGUUCACAGAUUGUUCCAUGCAACAUUUUCUGGGAAUCGUGAACAAAUUAAAGAAUUUUCAUUCAAAUAAAUUAAAUACAUGAAUUUGUUGUGUUUAAACCAGGGCAGUGGUCUGCAAUUUAUGUGCCAGUUUAAUGAAGAGUACCGUAAAAAUGCAAGAAAUAGGCAUAAAUUUGGAUUAUUAUAGUUGAAAAAUACCAGAAAAGGGUUACACGAUACAAACCCGCGAGAAUCAGCCAGAGAAUCUGCUGACAAGGUAAUACGAAUGCUGAAAGAUAACGACAUCUGCAAUAUCACCAUGGCAGACAUAGACAUUGCACAUAGAUUACCAAACAAGAACAAUACAAACAGAGAAAUUAUAGUAAGACUAGUAAGCCGACAGACCAAAGGACUUAUUUUAGCAAACAGGAAGAAGAUCCGCGGAACAAACAUUUUCAUAAAUGAAGACAUGACCAGGUUGAAUCUGCAUGUUCUUAUGUGUGUGAAGAAGACAAUUGCCGAUGAAGUAAGCGAUGCAUGGUUUAUCAACGGUAGAAUCAUGUUCAAGAGCCACAUGAACAAAAUCCAGUCGGUCAAGUUCGAAGACUACGAACAUUGGAUAAACUUACCAUCGCCCAACACAACAACAAAAUAAAGUGAAACUUCGUCCAAGAAUAAUAUCUUUUUGUGAACAGUAUAGUUUAUAUCACAGUAUUAAUUCUUCUGUAGUGUAACCACGAGUUCCUCGAGGAAACGCCACUUACAGUAUUACAUCCACCGAUCGUUUACAACAAAUUGUAUUGAAGUAAACACUUCUAACCAUAUAAAUAGUAAACGGUUAAGGUGACAUCAUAUAUCGGAACGUUUAAUAUGCGAUUCAAAAAUAUUAUGUAAUACACAGUGCAAGCUAGAGAAUGUAUAAUAUUGUUUAUGUAAGGCAUGUGUUUGUAAUCGUUUAGUAAUAUUCAGCAACGUUUGCCAAACACUCA